CCUACGUGAGGCAGCAGUGGGGAAUAUUUCACAAUGGGGGAAACCCUGAUGCAGCGACGCCGCGUGAGUGAAGAAGUAAUUCGUUAUGGAAAGCUCUAUCAGCAGGGGAGAAAAGGACGGUACCUGAGUAAGAAUCCCCGGCUAACUACGUGCCAGCAGCCGCGGUAAUACGUAGGGGGCAAGCGUUAUCCGGAUUUACUGGGUGUAAAGGGGGCGUAGUCGGGAGUGCAAGUCUGGCGUGAAAGGCGGGGGCUCAACCCCCGGACUGCUCUGGAAACUGUAGGGCUGGAGUGCAGGAGGGGUAAGUGGAAUUCCUAGUGUAGCGGUGAAAUGCAUAGAUAUUAGGAGGAACACCAGUGGCGAAGGCGGCUUACUGGACUGUAACUGACGUUGAGGCUCGAAAGCGUGGGGAGCAAACAGGAUUAGAUACCCCGGUAGUC
rnacentral:rRNA from 1 species